AAUUCCCGUUGAUCCUGCGGGGGGCCAUCGCUAUCUCCCUCCGACUAACCCAUGGGAGGCUGGGGAUACCGGGUAAGGUAUCCCGCCGCACGGCUGAGUAACACGUCGAUAACUCUGUCUCGGGAGGGGAAUAUCCUCGGGAAACUGAGGGUAAUUCCCCAUAGGAAAUGGGGUGUGGAAUUCCCCCAUUUCCGAAAGGGACUGGGAUAAUCCCUCCCAGUUCCGCCCGAGAGGAGGUCGGCGGCCUAUCAGGUAGUUGGCGGGGUAAUGGCCCGCCAAGCCUAAGACGGGUAGGGGCCGUGAGAGCGGGAGCCCCCAGAUCGGCACUGAGACAAGGGCCGAGGUCCUACGGGA
rnacentral:rRNA from 1 species